AAAAGUACAAUUGAAAGAAACAUAUAGUGCAGUAAAUGAAGUUACAAGCGUAGCAGAGAAGAAAUAAAUGGAAGCUGGCAAGAAGAAAGCAUAAAGUAAGAGAAUUGAUAGAAAAUUAACUGCAGAGGCAGCACAAAGUGUAAGCUAUUGCUCCUCAAAUAUCUACAGAAUAAUGAGUUAUUUGUGGUGGUUGCAUAGCUUUUGCUAGCAACUUUUCUAAAACCAGUCAAAUAUAUUGAGUGUUAAAAUUAAAUAGUUUCUUUUUUAGUACUUGUGUUGUUGGAAGUUAUUGGCCGCAUUAACUAAUUAUCAUGUUUUUUUUUAUGUGAAGUUAGUUUAAUUGUAGUAAUAUCUGUUCAGUUUGCUGAUUUCUUCUCGUUCAUUUUGAAGCUAUUUCUUUUUUCCAACUACUGCUUUGUUGUUACUAUGCUGU